rnacentral:siRNA from 1 species
AUGGCUACAGGAUUCCACUUU